rnacentral:rRNA from 1 species
AUUGAACGCUGGCGGCAUGCCUUACACAUGCAAGUCGAACGGCAGCACGGGGGCAACCCUGGUGGCGAGUGGCGAACGGGGGAGUAACACAUCGGAACGUGUCCUGUUGUGGGGGAUAAUCCACCGCAAGGUGAGCUAAUACCGAAUAACCUCGGAAGAGAAAAGCAGGGGACUCGAAAUGGUCUUGCGCGAUUGGAGCGGCCGGUGUCCGAUUUGCUAGUUGGUGGGGUAAAGGCCUACCAAGGCGACGAUGGGUAGCUGGUCUGAGAGGAUGAUCAGCCACGCUGGGACUGAGACACGGCCCAGACUCCUACAGGAGGCAGCAGUGGGGAAUUUUGGACAAUGGGGGCAACCCUGAUCCAGCCAUGCCGCGUGAGUGAAGAAGGCCUUCGGGUUGUAAAGCUCUUUCGGUGGGAACGAAACGGUUACGGAUAAUACCCGUGACUACUGACGGUACUCACAGAAGAAGCACCGGCUAACUACGUGCCAGCCGCCGCGGUAAAAC